GAUGAACGCUGGCGGCGUGCCUAAUACAUGCAAGUCGAGCGAACGGACGAGAAGCUUGCUUCUCUGAUGUUAGCGGCGGACGGGUGAGUAACACGUGGAUAACCUAUCUAUAAGACUGGGAUAACUUCGGGAAACCGGAGCUAAUACCGGAUAAUAUUUUGAACCGCAUGGUUCAAAAGUGAAAGACGGUCUUGCUGUCACUUAUAGAUGGAUCUGCGCUGCAUUAGCUAGUUGGUAAGGUAACGGCUUACCAAGGCAACGAUGCAUAGCCGACCUGAGAGGGUGAUCGGCCACACUGGAACUGAGACACGGUCCAGACUCCUACGGGAGGCAGCAGUAGGGAAUCUUCCGCAAUGGGCGAAAGCCUGACGGAGCAACGCCGCGUGAGUGAUGAAGGUCUUCGGAUCGUAAAACUCUGUUAUUAGGGAAGAACAUAUGUGUAAGUAACUGUGCACAUCUUGACGGUACCUAAUCAGAAAGCCACGGCUAACUACGUG
rnacentral:rRNA from 1 species